rnacentral:lncRNA from 1 species
ACUACGCAACUGCAUGCUAUGUAUUGCAGCUAAAUGACUUCAAUGAAGAGAUCAAUGAACAAUCAAUGCAAGCAAUGGAAAAUAACAACUUGAGCAUUUGUUAUUUUAUUUUUUAAUUUUGGGAUUAAAUAAAUUCAAAUAUGGCAAGCUAAUAUCGAUAUAUGUGAAAUAACAAAGCAGCAGUCAAAUACUAAUAAAAAACCUAAUCACAUAAAAUAAGUGAGA